rnacentral:lncRNA from 1 species
GUUGCCCGGAUUUUCUGCUUAUGCUAAUGGUUAGUGAUGUGUUUACUCUUUGCAUUCCUUUUUUGUGUCAUUGUUUAUAGCACGACAUCCUAUCUUCUCUCUUACAUGAUUGUCUUUGGCAGUUGCUUUGCUCAGUUCUUAUUUUCUCUUUUAUUGCUCUGUUCCUUCGAAGCCUCUUCUUGGUUUUGCUCUUCUUGAUACAGAUUGGUCAGGUGAGCUUUUCCUUUUACUGAACUAUCUCAUCUAUAAUGCUGUUUAUUCCAAUAUGUUUUUUGAUCGGUCAUUC